rnacentral:sRNA from 1 species
GCUGGGUGGGGUGGUGUCUCCCUGUAAUCCCAGCUACUCUGGAGGUUGAGGCAGGAGGAUUGCAAGCUCAAGCCCAGUUUGGCAAUUUAGUGAGAUCCUGUCUCAA